GACGAACGCUGGCGGCGUGCCUAACACAUGCAAGUCGAACGAGGUCCAUCCUUCGGGAGAAGACCUAGUGGCGAACGGGUGAGUAACACGUGAAGAACCUGCCCCGAAGACCGGGAUAACCCUCCGAAAGGAGAGCUAAUACCGGAUACCCCCACCGAACCGCAUGGUUUGGUGAGGAAAUGGAUUCCGCUUCGGGAGGGCUUCGCGGCCUAUCAGCUAGUUGGUGGGUAACGGCCCACCAAGGCAUCGACGGGUAGCUGGUCUGAGAGGACGAUCAGCCACACUGGGACUGAGACACGGCCCAGACUCCUACGGA
rnacentral:rRNA from 1 species